rnacentral:rRNA from 1 species
UACGAAGGGUGCAAACGUUGCUCGGAAUUAUUGGGCGUAAAGCGCGCGCAGGCGGUCAUGUAAGUCUGGUGUUUAAUCCCGGGGCUCAACCCCGGAUCGCACUGGAAACUGCGUGACUUGAGUGCAGAAGAGGAGAGUGGAAUUCCACGUGUAGCGGUGAAAUGCGUAGAUAUCUGGAGGAACACCGGUGGCGAAGGCGGCAUCCCGGACCGACACUGACGCUGAGGAGCGAAAGCCAGGGGAGCAAACGGG